rnacentral:rRNA from 1 species
GACGAACGCUGGCGGCGUGCCUAAUACAUGCCAGUUGAGCGCUGAAGGUUGGUACUUGUACCAACUGGAUGAGCAGCGAACGGGUGAGUAACGCGUGGGGAAUCUGCCUUUGAGCGGGGGACAACAUUUGGAAACGAAUGCUAAUACCGCAUAAAAACUUUAAACACAAGUUUUAAGUUUGAAAGAUGCAAUUGCAUCACUCAAAGAUGAUCCCGCGUUGUAUUAGCUAGUUGGUGAGGUAAAGGCUCACCAAGGCGAUGAUACAUAGCCGACCUGAGAGGGUGGUCGGCCACAGUGGGACUGAGACACGGCCCAAACUCCUACGGGGGGCAGCAGUAGGGAAUCUUCGGCAAUGGACGAAAGUCUGACCGAGCAACGCCGCGUGAGUGAAGAAGGUUUUCGGAUCGGAAAACUCUGUUGGUAGAGAAGAACGUUGGUGAGAGUGGAAAGCUCAUCAAGUGACGGUAACUACCCAGAAAGGGACGGCUAACUACGUG